UUGAUUUCCAGUGAGGUUGAGUGUCCUGUGGAUCUGGAAUUGUGGUUCCGGCAGCACCUCAACCAGUAGCUCCUUUGGUUUCAACAAUCAACAGCGGUUGCUAAUUGAGGAUCUUGUCUGGUCCAACAGAUCACUUUGUUUUCCAACAGCUCAAUUGAGUGAGAUUCUGUUGCUGUGAUGCUGGAGUUGUGAUCUUUGAGGUGUAUCCAGCAGCUUUCCCUAACCGGCAGCAACACCUUUGAUUGUGAUCUAUUGGUGAUCACCUUGGAUUUGAGGAUUCUGAUUCGAGACAGGCGUCUCGACGUUGACUUCGGAUUUGGGAUUGUACCUU